rnacentral:rRNA from 1 species
UACGUAGGGUGCAAGCGUUGUCCGGAAUUAUUGGGCGUAAAGAGCUCGUAGGCGGUUUGUUGCGUCGGCUGUGAAAUCCCGAGGCUCAACCUCGGGUCUGCAGUCGAUACGAGCAAACUAGAGUGUUGCAGGGGAGACUGGAAUUCCUGGUGUAGCGGUGGAAAUGACGCAGAUAUCUGGAGGAACACCGGUGGCGAAGGCGGCAUCCUGGACCGGCAUUGACGCUGAGGCGCGAAAGCCAGGGGAGCAAAGCGGG